AGGAAAACGUGCUCUGGUUUAAUGGCAUUUCUUUAAACCAAUCACAAUCGUCUUGGGUGCUGGUAAGCGCCGGAGAAAAGCUGUGGUGCCGCUGCAAAAUAGGCUCGGAAGGAACUUGUUUUGGUGGAACGUGUGUGCGUUUUAAAAGU